UACGGAGGUGGCGAGCGUUACUCGGAUUCAUUGGGUGUAAAGGACAGGUAGGCGUCUCUGCAAGUUUUGGGUGAAAUCCUUUGGCUUAACCAAAGAACUGCCUAAAAUACUGCAGAGAUUGAGGCUAAAAGAGGAGAGCGGAAUUCCCGGUGUAAGGGUGAAAUCUGUAGAUAUCGGGAGGAACACCAGUGGCGAAAGCGGCUCUCUGGUCUAGCCCUGACGCUGAACUGUGAAAGCUAGGGGAGCAAACAGG
rnacentral:rRNA from 1 species